GCCUUCAUGGUGUAACGGUUAGCACACUCGGCGCGUAUUCGAGAAGUCCAGGGUUCGAGUCCCGGCGAGGACA
rfam:Stegodyphus mimosarum contig59923, whole genome shotgun sequence.